rnacentral:rRNA from 1 species
AGUGAACGCUGGCGGUAGGCCUAACACAUGCAGGUCGAACGGCAGCACAGUAAGAGCUUGCUCUUACGGGUGGCGAGUGGCGGACGGGUGAGGAAUACAUCGGAAUCUACUUUUUCGUGGGGGAUAACGUAGGGAAACUUACGCUAAUACCGCAUACGACCUACGGGUGAAAGCAGGGGAUCUUCGGACCUUGCGCGAUUGAAUGAGCCGAUGUCGGAUUAGCUAGUUGGCGGGGUAAAGGCCCACCAAGGCGACGAUCCGUAGCUGGUCUGAGAGGAUGAUCAGCCACACUGGAACUGAGACACGGUCCAGACUCCUACGGGAGGCAGCAGUGGGGAAUAUUGGACAAUGGGCGCAAGCCUGAUCCAGCCAUACCGAGUGGGUGAAGAAGGCCUUCGGGUUGUAAAGCCCUUUUGUUGGGAAAGAAAAGCAGCAGGUUAAUACCCCGCUGUUCUGACAGUACCCAAAGAAUAAGCACCGGCUAACUUCGUG